rnacentral:tRNA from 1 species
GUGGAUAUAGCUCAGUCGGUAGAGCACCUGAUUGUGGUUCAGGAGGUCGCGUGUUCGAGCCACGUUAUCCACC